UACGAAGGGGGCUAGCGUUGUUCGGAAUCACUGGGCGUAAAGCGCACGCAGGCGGAUCGUUAAGUCAGGGGUGAAAAUCCCGAGGCUCAACCUCGGAACUGCCUUUGAUACUGGCGAUCUUUGAGUCCGGGAGAGGUGAGUGGAACUCCGAGUGUAGAGGUGAAAUUCGUAGAUAUUCGCAAGAACACCAGUGGCGAAGGCGCUCACUGGCCCGAUACUGACGCUGAGGCACGAAAGCGUGGGGAGCAAACAGG
rnacentral:rRNA from 1 species